rnacentral:rRNA from 1 species
UACGUAGGGUGCGAGCGUUAAUCGGAAUUACUGGGCGUAAAGCGUGCGCAGGCGGUUUUGUAAGACAGAUGUGAAAUCCCCGGGCUCAACCUGGGACCUGCAUUUGUGACUGCAAAGCUGGAGUGCGGCAGAGGGGGAUGGAAUUCCGCGUGUAGCAGUGAAAUGCGUAGAUAUGCGGAGGAACACCGAUGGCGAAGGCAAUCCCCUGGGCCUGCACUGACGCUCAUGCACGAAAGCGUGGGGAGCAAACAGGAUUAGAUACCCUGGUAGUCCACGCCCUAAACGAUGUCAACUGGUUGUUGGGUCUUUACUGACUCAGUAACGAAGCUAACGCGUGAAGUUGACCGCCUGGGGAGUACGGCCGCAAGGUUGAA